UAAUAAGACUCGUAUGUAUAAACCCCGUUAUAUAAAUAAAAUUUCUCUGUUCUGAAUGUGUUAUGUGUUAUUAUAUACUUGGUUUGACAAAAUUGACCAAAUAAAUUUUUAUCCGAAAAACGUCGUGCUUGACACCUUGUGCUUAAAUUUUUCUUCUAUAAUCGGACUUUUCGGUAAAAUUAUUUUGACAAGUUAUUUUGUCGUGCUUACACUGAAAAAACGCUUUGUCG
rnacentral:lncRNA from 1 species